UCUCAUGUCAUGACAACGAAGAGAAACACUCUCAUGUCAAGACAAUGAAGAGAAACACUCAUGUCAAGACCAUGAGAGUGUUUCUCUUCGUUGUCUUGACAUGAGA
rnacentral:pre_miRNA from 1 species